CUCCCUCUGGGCUGCCGGACUGCCCAGGCUAGGUGCUGCAAAGUCCCUAGGCGAGUGCCACUGAAGGAUGAAGCCAGCUGGGCUUCUCGGACCGGUGGGGACUUGGAGACCUUUUCUGUCUAGCUAAAGGAGUGUAAACGCAACAAUCAGCACUCUGUGUCUAGCUAAAGGUUUGUAAACACACCAAUCAGCACUCUGUCAAAACGAACCAGUCAGCUCUCUGUAAAAUGGACCAAUCAGCUCUCUGUAAAAUGGCCCAAUCAGUAGGAUGUGGGUGGGACCAGAUAAGGGAAUAAAAGCGGGCCACCCCAGCCAGCAGAGUCAGCCUACUCAGAUUUCCUAUCCGUGAUGUGGGAGCGUUGAUUUUUUGCGUUUUUUUUUGCUCUUCAGGAAUGAGUCUCGCUGUUGCUCAUUCUGUGGAUCCCUGCUGCGUUUAUAAGCUGUAACGCUCAGCGCUAAGGUCUGCAGGUUCAGUCCUAAAACCAGUGAGACCAGCGACCCACCAGAAAAAACUAGCAACUGCAGACGCGACGCCUUUAAGAGCUGUAACACUCAUCGCGAAGGUUUGCAGCUUCACUCCUGAAGCCAGGGAGACCACGAACUCACCAGAAGAAAUAAACUCCGGACACAUUUGAGCAUCUGAAGGAACAAACUCCGAACACACCAUCUUUUAAGAACUGUAACACUCACUGCGAGGGUCCAAGGGUCUGCAGCUUCAUUUUUGAAGUCACCAAGACCAAGAACCACAAAUUCUGGACACAACAUCAUUUCCUGUGGGAUCAUAUUCUGGAAUCACAGAGAGCAUGACUAUGAGAUCUCAGCUAUCCAGCUGUCACAGAGGAAGUGGGAAUUUUCAACCAUGAAUGUCAAGUCAUCUUUUCAAUGUGAAGGUUUGCUACUGCCGAAUAAGAAACACCAUUUUGUUUUCAGAUGAAAACUAACGUGGGGUCGAGGCACCAGCCCGCUGUCGGCUGGCACGACCACUCCUGCGGCCUGGGCUUCAGAUUCUCUCUCUAGCUGCAGGCAUUAAAUUAUGAUGAAGGCCACAGAAAAAUGAUUAAGGUCAAAGUCUAGAAUCAAUUGUCAGCCUAUGUUAUGGACAUAACAUUUAUGUACCAUUGGGUCAUGAGGGUGGAGCGCUCAUGAAUGGAAUUAGCGACCUUAUGAAAGAGAGACUAGAGAGCUGUCUCAUCCCUUCUGCUGUGUGAGGACCUGGUGAAAAGAUGUCAGCUAUGAAACAGAAAGCGAGGCCUCAGCAGACACUACAUCUUUUGGUGCCUUGAUCUUGGACUUUCCAGCCUCCAGAACUGUGAGUAAUAAAUUUCUGUUGUUUAUAAUCUACCCAGUCUAUGGUAUUUUGUUAUGGCAGUCCAAAUGAACUAAGGUAUUCUCUAAAGUGUUUCUGCCAAGACUUCUCCUUAGUGGGGA
rnacentral:lncRNA from 10 species